AAAAUAUCGAAAAAAGAAAAAGGUGCAUACAUAAGUCUAGUCUCUUUUUUGUUUGUUGUAAUCGCUGGCGAUGGUGAAAUCUUCCGGUUCGGUGCCUCCUUUCUUGAAAAAAUGUUACGAUAUGGUCCAAGACUGCAACACCGACUCCGUUAUCUGUUGGAGCCACGACGGUGUCAGCUUCGUCAUCUCCGACAUCACUCAAUUCUCCGUCACACUUCUUCCUACCUAUUUCAAACACAACAAUUUCUCAAGUUUCAUCAGACAACUCAAUAUCUAUGGUUUCAGGAAAAUUGAUACGGAUUCCUGGGAAUUUGCCAAUGAAAACUUUGUUAGGGGUCAAAAGCAUUUGUUGAAGAAUAUACAUAGAAGGAAACAUCCACACAGUGCAGAUCAGCAAAAGGCAUUGCCACAGCAAGACAAUUGUGAUGAACCAUCCCAAGAAGCACCAAAUCAUGGCCUUUGGAAAGAAGUUGAGAAUCUAAAACUUGAUAAAAAUUCGCUCACACAGGAAUUGGUCAAACUUAGGCAACAUCAGGAAUCUGCUGAGAGUAAGUUGCUGCUCCUGAGUGAUCGCCUUCAAGGAAUGGAAAAGCAUCAGCAGCAGAUGUUGUCAUUCUUAGUCAUGGUUGUGCAAAGCCCUGGGUUCAUGGUUCAGCUUCUUCAUCCUAAGGAAAAUAAUUGGCGUUUGGCUGAAUCAUGGAAUAGAUUGGAUCAAGAUAAACAAGAUGACAAGCCAGUUGCUUCUGAUGGGAUGAUAAUAAAGUAUAAACCACCUGUAGGUGAAAAACUAAAGCCCGUAGUUCCUCUAUCUCCUGGUUUCGAAAAUCAACCAGAACCUGAGCUUUCUGCUGAUGGGCUGAAAGACUUGUGCAUCAGUUCUGAAUUCUUGAAAGUACUUCUGGAUGAAAAAUUGUCUCCGUUAGAAAAUCAUUCUCCAUUUCUCCUACCAGAUUUACCUGAUGAUGGUUCAUGGGAACAGCUUUUUCUUGGCAGUCCUUUCCUGGGAAACAUUCAAGAUUCUAAGAAUGAAAGUGAGGGGCACACCAACAGUGGAAUGGAGAUGGAACCAACAAUAUCUGAGACUCCAAAUGAAAAUUCUCGAACUUUUGAAUCGAUGAUCAUAGAGAUGGAGAAAACUCGAGAAUAAGUUGGAGUUGUAUGCACAUGGUGGGCUGUCUUCAUAAAAUAAUAUCCAUCAAAUAUUUUUCAUAUGGGCUGUCUCAUACUGAGCUAAUGGAGCUUUAGAUUCUGAAACUAACAACAUAUAGGGAAGGAAGUAAUAAUGUUCAUCAGAUAUUUUUCAGCUGAGCUGUCUUCACAUAUUACUUCAACACUAUAAUUAUAUCAUAGUAUUAAGUCGCAAUUAUUUUCUCUCCCAUCUUCCUUCAGCAGUUGUUAGAUCCUCAUCUAAAAUCCUUAUUUUGGCAUCUUGAUACAUGGUGUCGGAGACCAGGAGUCGUAUGUUAGUGCACUAGUGCGGCUACCUAUAUAUAAUGGAUCAAAUAUUUCUUAUUUGGAGAACUGCAAGGGAAAACGGCAACUUUAUUUUUUGUGCCACAUUAAACAGUGGCACUUGCCUUCAUAUAUAUUAUAAAAUUUCAUAAAAUUCAUGCUUCGUUUGCAUAUUAUUAUUGCAGAAGCCAGUGCUCUGAUAAUGCUCUUUCCCUUUUCUCUCUUA
rnacentral:lncRNA from 1 species